UGGGCGUAAGCGAGCGCAGGCGGUUUUUUAAGUCUGAUGUGAAAGCCUUCGGCUCAACCGAAGAAGUGCAUCGGAAACUGGGAAACUUGAGUGCAGAAGAGGACAGUGGAACUCCAUGUGUAGCGGUGAAAUGCGUAGAUAUAUGGAAGAACACCAGUGGCGAAGGCGGCUGUCUGGUCUGUAACUGACGCUGAGGCUCGAAAGUAUGGGUAGCAAACAGGAUUAGAUACCCUGGUAGUCCAUACCGUAAACGAUGAAUGCUAAGUGUUGGAGGGUUUCCGCCCUUCAGUGCUGCAGCUAACGCAUUAAGCAUUCCGCCUGGGGAGUACGGCCGCAAGGCUGAAACUCAAAGGAAUUGACGGGGGCCCGCACAAGCGGUGGAGCAUGUGGUUUAAUUCGAAGCUACGCGAAGAACCUUACCAGGUCUUGACAUACUAUGCAAAUCUAAGAGAUUAGACGUUCCCUUCGGGGACAUGGAUACAGGUGGUGCAUGGUUGUCGUCAGCUCGUGUCGUGAGAUGUUGGGUUAAGUCCCGCAACGAGCGCAACCCUUAUUAUCAGUUGCCAGCAUUAAGUUGGGCACUCUGGUGAGACUGCCGGUGACAAACCGGAGGAAGGUGGGGAUGACGUCAAAUCAUCAUGCCCCUUAUGACCUGGGCUACACACGUGCUACAAUGGAUGGUACAACGAGUUGCGAACUCGCGAGAGUAAGCUAAUCUCUUAAAGCCAUUCUCAGUUCGGAUUGUAGGCUGCAACUCGCCUACAUGAAGUCGGAAUCGCUAGUAAUCGCGGAUCAGCAUGCCGCGGUGAAUACGUUCCCGGGCCUUGUACACACCGCCCGUCACACCAUGAGAGUUUGUAACACCCAAAGUCGGUGGGGUAACCUUUUAGGAACCAGCCGCCUAAGGUGGGACAGAUGAUUAGGGUGAAGUCG
rnacentral:rRNA from 2 species